UCUAUCUUCCCCGGUCUACGACGUUGGUGCACCCGUCGGCCAUCAGCCGUAUCCGCUCUUUUUGUUGUUUGUAAAAUGGCUUGAAACUUUAAAAAAAUUUAUCAUUAUUUUGUUCUUUUAAUGAUGAAACACUCGGAAAAUGAAUGUAUAUUUAAUACCCCACUUUUAUAUAACUUCACCGAUUUUAAUUUACGCGACGUUUCAAAAUCGUCUCGAUACGAUAACAAUCGGUGCACCGUAAUAUAUUUACGUAUUACAGAAAUAUUUUCGGUUUCGGCGCAGUCGAUAAAGAUGUUUAGGACCGUAGUCUCUGUAGCGAUAACGCGAUGCGUUCUUAUAGUCUGAUAAAUUGUCGUUUUCGAUAAACAACGUGUACCUAUACGAUGUGUAAAUCAUAAUCUGAGGGGACAAUUCUCAGCAUAACCUCGCUGUUUGCUCCCGCCUCCCGCCAAUAUAUCAUGUAAGAACGUUUACCAGUAAACCGGAUAUUUUUCGUUAUAGGCACGAAAAACACGGAACCUCAAAAGCCUCGGGAUCGGCAAAAUGUACAUAAUAAUUUAUCACGUUUACAGCACGCCGGUUUUUCGUAUUUUUUUUAUGAUCGACCAAUAUGGAUAAGUACCUAUCGUCUUAAAACGACUGCGCAACGACGGUAUCAAUUUCUUACGACAUAAUAAUAAUUUAGUCGAUAGUAUUUUUUUAGAUUCGGAGCGUAGCGAGUUUU